AAGUAACGCUAGCUAUAUGCUUAACACAUGCAAGUCGAACGUUGUUUUCGGGCGCGCUUGUCUCGCCUUGAGAACAAAGUGGCGAACGGGUGAGUAAUGUCUGGGAAACUGCCUGAUGGAGGGGGAUAACUACUGGAAACGGUAGCUAAUACCGCAUAACGUCGCAAGACCAAAGAGGGGGACCUUCGGGCCUCUUGCCAUCGGAUGUGCCCAGAUGGGAUUAGCUAGUAGGUGGGGUAAAGGCUCACCUAGGCGACGAUCCCUAGCUGGUCUGAGAGGAUGACCAGCCACACUGGAACUGAGACACGGUCCAGACUCCUACGGGAGGCAGCAGUGGGGAAUAUUGCACAAUGGGCGCAAGCCUGAUGCAGCCAUGCCGCGUGUAUGAAGAAGGCCUUCGGGUUGUAAAGUACUUUCAGCGGGGAGGAAGGGAGUAAAGUUAAUACCUUUGCUCAUUGACGUUACCCGCAGAAGAAGCACCGGCUAACUCCGUGCCAGCAGCCGCAGUAAAAC
rnacentral:rRNA from 1 species